rnacentral:tRNA from 1 species
GGGGGCAGAGCUCAGUGGUAGAGUGUGUGCUUAGCAUGCACGAGGUCCUAUGUUCAAUCCCCAGCACCUCCA